CAGCCGCCACGGUAAUACGAAGGGUGCAAGCGUUAAUCGGAAUUACUGGGCAUAAAGCGCGCGUAGGUGGUUUGGUAAGAUGGAUGUGAAAUCCCCGGGCUCAACCUGGGAACUGCAUCCAUAACUGCCUGACUAGAGUACGGUAGAGGGUGGUGGAAUUUCCUGUGUAGCGGUGAAAUGCGUAGAUAUAGGAAGGAACACCAGUGGCGAAGGCGACCACCUGGACUGAUACUGACACUGAGGUGCGAAAGCGUGGGGAGCAAACAGGAUUAGAUACCCCCGUAGUCCCUGUCUCUUAUAC
rnacentral:rRNA from 1 species